rnacentral:lncRNA from 1 species
CCACCGGCACAGGAGCCAGUCAGUCAUCUCUUUUGCACACCACAUUUGAUGCUUCUUAUGCCCAACUUUUCUCUCAGGGCACUUACACUCUGUUGUGUAUGUACACUGACAAUACACAUCCAGCGCAUCAUACUAGCUUCAUUUCUUUCAAGCCUAAUCAUGUCCUCAGCAGUCAUGGCCCAUGUUUCACUGCCCUGUAGCAUGGCUGUUUGCACACAUGAAUAGGAAAAGUAGUUGAGGUUGUCAGGGUGAUAGAAUAAUCAAGAUGUGACUAGUUAUAGGCAACUCAACAGCAAAUGUUAUUUCAGCAUAUGCCCCACAAGAUUGCUUCUAUGAUACCCUUUCUCAACAAAAAUUGAGAAUGAUUUCUUUAUCAUGGCUGGUGACUUCAACAGUCAUAUUGGCCAGCAUGCCAAUGGCUUCCACAACAUACAUGGAGGCUAUGGAUACAGUGAGAAAAAUGAAGAGGGUAUAAGGCUCCUGGAAUUUUGUAAUGCAAUGGUUCUAACAAUUUGCAACACAUGCUUUAGGAAACUAACCAACCAUCUCAUCAGCUACAAAUUUGGUGUACACACAAGUUCGAUAGAUUAUGUUCUCACCAAAAACAAAGAGACAAAAGAGCUAUUGUAAAUGCCAAAACCUUUUCUAGUGAAGAAUAUACAACACAACACAGAUUAGUGGCUGGUAAGUUCAGAAACGGAAUGACCAUCUAAACUUUAAAAUCUUACAAUUGAUAACAAAUUUAGAGAAAUUCUGGGGUAAAUUUAGAUAAAACUAGCAUAUAUAAAAAUUGGAAAUUUCUAUGAAAUAACUUGCUCAGGACCACACAACAGACAUGGAGCAAGGGAAAAGUCCUGACCCAACUGAAAGGAUGGGAAACUGGGAAGGAAAGUGGUAAUAGGAAGCAUUAACAGAUAGCUAGAAAAGCAGCUAUGCGACAGGUUUAUUUGGCUAAGGAUGAGGCAGAGAGGGAGAGUCUUGCAAUGUGUCGAUCACAUGACAGUGUCUGAGUGAGAACCAAGAAGUGUAUUCAUAAUGAUGAAGGCCAUAUUUGGCAGUGAUAUGGAAGUGCUAUAAUGAGAAGUUGUUGAAUGUGGAGAAUGUAUGGGAUAAAGAGAUACUUUGUGCUGACCCUAUUGAGAGACCAACUCAAGUUGACAGCAGCAUACUAGGAGUCAUACCCCAUGACUGGUGUAGCAGUAUCAUCCUAAACUGCCGGAAAGGCAAAGGGGGUGUCUUAAAGAAAAACAAUUACAGAGGAAUCAAAUUACUGGAUCAAGUUAUGAAGGUUACAAAGAGACAUAGCACCAUUGAUUCAUGACAGGAUAAAUCUAGUUGAGAUGAAGAGGUACCAUGGAUGCUGUCUUCCUAGCAAGGCAACUGCAGAAGAAAUACUUGGCUAAGAGUAGACCAUUAUUUUUAGCUUUCAUUGAAUUGUAGAAGGCAUUUGACAAGGUAUCACAUACAGAAAUCAGGUGGUGUCUAAGGAAAUUAGGUGUUGACAAACCCCACCCAUUCACACUUCUAGUUUCUCUGUCCCCACUCCUUUCUCACCUUGAUGUGCCAUCUAGAAACCUUAUCACCAUUAUUUAUUCCUUCAAAGAUACUACUGACCAUUCUCUCUCUCUCUUAAAUGUGGCUUGCCAUAUAGCUCUUUGACAAGAAACUGCUCUGCCCUACUCUAUCCCCUCCUUGGGUUUUACAGUCUUGUAGGCAACUUCACUAGUGCAGUAAGCAAUAGGAGAAAAGUACCCUGUACAUACUGUAAAGUGGUUGACAUUAGGAAAAGCUAGUUGUAGAAACCAUGCCAAGGCAGAUACUGGAGCAGAAUGCAGUCUUCAGACCAAUUGGAUCUUGGAAAACAAUCUAACUCAUGCCAGUAUGGAACAUGGUCAUCAAAUGAUGAUAUGUGUGUGUGUGAGAGAGUAAGACAUCCUCUAUUCCCCCGCUCCUUUCUACCCGUUUCAUACCUUUAUGGUCCAGUCUGACACAUCACCACUUAUAUCACUUUCCACCCACCCCCUCUCUUCUAAAAUGUGAGUAGUCAUGUAGCUCCUCUUAUGCAAGAAACCCGUUCUGAUCUAGCCCUUUGUUUUUCAUACUUUACCCCUCUCUACUCUGUAUUCGCUUACCAUUAAGUUCACUCACACCACUCUUGCAAGCUACUCAGCAUCUUGACCAGUGCUGGUGGCAAAAAAAAAAAUACACCUAGUAUACAUUACAAAGAUGUAAAGUGGUUGGCAUUAGGAAGGGUGUUCAGCUAUAGAAACCAUGCCAAAUAGGCAAUUAGAGCAGGAUGCAUUCCUUGGGAUCAUCAGAUCUUGUCAAACCACCCAAUACUGCUAGCAUCACCACCAUGAUGAUGAUGACGAUGACGGCUCCCCUCCUCCUCUUUCUUUCCUCUUCAUUUUUUUCUAUCCCCUCAUUAAUUCUCUCUCCAUCCUCAAUGUUUCGAUUGGUAAAGGAAUAACGAACCCCAUCAAUAAGUGAAUAUCACAGCACUUCUAUUUUUUAAACUUUUUAAAAAAUACUUAGGUGUAUUUUGAGGGAGAUUUGGGUGCUACUUCUUAGUCAGAUGACUGUGUAGACACACAAAACAAAUUAAUAUGUGCAUAAAAUUUUAAUUGCUUUAAAUAAUGGAGUAAUUAAUAAUUAUAUUUAUUAUACAUUCAAUAUGAAUCUUUUUAUUACAGGAAAAUCAAUUACACAAAAUGAGGGUUUUAUGAACAUAGGUUACUAAAAAUUAGGGGUAAAUGUUGCCUUAUAUGUAAGAAAACCUAACUUUAGUUUUACAGUGCAUUUAAAAAAAGAAAGUUUAUUCAGAUUUAUUAUGGAUUCCAAACAAAAAAGGUGACCUUUGAACUUUAUUAGUGUUUAUCACAAAAGUACAUUUGCUGUAAAGUCACCAUUGUGACAAUUCUAAUUGUCUCUU